rnacentral:rRNA from 1 species
GACGAACGCUGGCGGCGUGCUUAACACAUGCAAGUCGAACGGAAAGGCCCUUCGGGGUACUCGAGUGGCGAACGGGUGAGUAACACGUGGGUGAUCUGCCCUGCACUUUGGGAUAAGCCUGGGAAACUGGGUCUAAUACCGAAUAGGACCACGCGCUUCAUGGUGUGUGGUGGAAAGCUUCUGCGGUGUGGGAUGGGCCCGCGGCCUAUCAGCUUGUUGGUGGGGUAAUGGCCUACCAAGGCGACGACGGGUAGCCGGCCUGAGAGGGUGACCGGCCACACUGGGACUGAGAUACGGCCCAGACUCCUACGGGAGGCAGCAGUGGGGAAUAUUGCACAAUGGGCGCAAGCCUGAUGCAGCGACGCCGCGUGAGGGAUGACGGCCUUCGGGUUGUAAACCUCUUUCACCAGGGACGAAGCGUAAGUGACGGUACCUGGAGAAGAAGCACCGGCCAACUACGUG